rnacentral:tRNA from 1 species
GCGGGUGUGGCUCAAUUGGAAGAGCAGUCGUCUCCAAAGCGACCGGUUCGGGGUUCGAGUCCCUGCGCCCGUGCCA